GACGAACGCUGGCGGCGUGCCUAAUACAUGCAAGUAGAACGCACAGUUUAUACCGUAGCUUGCUACACCAUAGACUGUGAGUUGCGAACGGGUGAGUAACGCGUAGGUAACCUGCCUGGUAGCGGGGGAUAACUAUUGGAAACGAUAGCUAAUACCGCAUAAUAUUAAUUAUUGCAUGAUAAUUAAUUGAAAGGUGCAAUUGCACCACUACCAGAUGGACCUGCGUUGUAUUAGCUAGUAGGUGAGGUAACGGCUCACCUAGGCGACGAUACAUAGCCGACCUGAGAGGGUGAUCGGCCACACUGGGACUGAGACACGGCCCAGACUCCUACGGGAGGCAGCAGUAGGGAAUCUUCGGCAAUGGACGAAAGUCUGACCGAGCAACGCCGCGUGAGUGAAGAAGGUUUUCGGAUCGUAAAGCUCUGUUGUAAGAGAAGAACGGGUGUGAGAGUGGAAAGUUCACACUGUGACGGUAUCUUACCAGAAAGGGACGGCUAACUACAUG
rnacentral:rRNA from 1 species